CUUGCCCUUUGCCAAGCCUAGGUCUUUGAAACCAGAGCAGAGCAUGGGAUUUCCUAUGAUGGAUGUAAAUGGUAGUCCUGUAUAGUACCCAUCCUGGGACUACCUGGUUGCUGGAGCAUCUGAGCGUGGUGGAGCCACUUGCUGCUACAGGGCACUUAAGCACAGCCUGUAGAGCCACGCGUACGGAUCCAGUUGGUAAUUACUGGAGUCAUUUUCUCCAGUCUGGGAGUGAAGUGGUCACGGGAGUCACAUUCUGGUGAUGAAGAAUAAAUGACCCACCAGCAAAUGACUCCCUACGCUACUGCUACAGCUCCCUGGAAAUACCCACAAUGCUUCUGCCUGGAUUUCAAAGAUGGUCUGGGCCUCACUGUGGUCAUUAGUGCUGUAGGAAAAACAGCAGUCGAUCAAUGGAUUGACUCUGGGGAGAUGCUUCCGGGUUUCAUCGCUCUAAGCCACAGUUACAAGAUCAUUUCUACGAGAAAUAAAAUUACUGUGAAUAUUUCUGUACAAGCUUUUGUGUUGCAACAUGAUCCUGUGCCUCCUGGGAAAAGCAGAUAGGUAAGAGCAACUGGAAGGACAGCAUACUGGCAAGUGACUGCAUGGCCCCAACAGCACUCAUGCGCUACAGUGACAUGGAUUGGAAAACUCGUGAGGCUCUUGCACUACUUAUGCCCACCAUUAAAUUAACAGAGACAGAAUGCAUACUGUGGAGGCUACGAACCCCCAACAUGUCUGUGACAAAUUAGAUGUGAACAACUGCAGACAUGAGUCACUAGAGGAAACACCAUGAAAAACCAAACCUCUAUUGAUCCUUUCUGUUCAACUUUUACUUAAGAAAAGUCUUAGGCUGAAUUAAAGAUAUGUGAACUAAAAGAUCUGUUGACAAAUGUGUAAUCAUGAUUAUAUAUCAGCU
rnacentral:lncRNA from 1 species